CCUACGGGUGGCAGCAGGUAAGAAUAUUCCGCAAUGGGGGGAACCCUGACGGAGCGACGCCGCGUGAACGAAGAAGGCCGGAAGGUUGUAAAGUUCUUUUCUGUCCGAGGAAUAAGUGUAGGAGGAAAUGCCUGCAUGGUGACGGUAGGGCAGGAAUAAGCACCGGCUAAUUACGUGCCAGCAGCCGCGGUAACACGUAAGGUGCGAGCGUUGUUCGGAAUUAUUGGGCGUAAAGGGCAUGCAGGCGGGUCGCCAAGCUUGGUAAGAAAUACCGGGGCUCAACUCCGGAGCUAUAUUGAGAACUGGCGAGCUGGAGUUGCCGAAGGGUAUCCGGAAUUCCGCGUGAAGGGGUGAAAUCUGUAGAUAUGCGGAAGAACACCGAUGGCGAAGGCAGGAUACCGGCGGACGACUGACGCUGAGGUGCGAAGGUGCGGGGAGCAAACAGGAUUAGAUACCCUAGUAGUCC
rnacentral:rRNA from 1 species